AAUUGAUUUGUGUCUGUUUACUCACCCUCCAAAAUCGUUUUAAUCUGUUCACCCCGGGCAGUUUGGAGGCGUUCAUCCCUGUGAAGGUAGGUAUCCCCUUGUAGCUGCCAGGAUGUCUGGUGGCCGUGCAAUGAGAUGCCUGGGGAUUCUCACAGAAGGGACACUCCCUGGCUUUUAGCGAUGCUGCUUACUAAGACCACAGUUUGCUGGCAGCCCGGAGCAGCCAAUAGCUGAGCCGGACGUUUCAGCCUCUGGGGAGCAGGGAGCAGAGCUGCCCCACACCAGUGGAGGAGCCUCUGACCUGGUCCAGGGCUCAGCCUCCCGGGGGGGCAACGAUGCUUUCUGAACAGCCCUGUCCACCUACUCCUCCUGCAGAUGGGUCUGGAGUCCUGGAUUGGAAACCAUGCUCUGCUCUGAGAAAGACUCGCUCAUGUUCAUCUCAACUCAGUCACCAGCCUGAAGCUGAGGGCCCUGAUGCUCGGCUGCCUCCGGCUCCUGAGUUGGCUCUGACCCUGGACAGGGGUUGGGAGCAGGAAGAAGCUGCCCAAACCUUCUUGGUUUGGAAGGACCACAGGGAGGGCAGAGCUGCAGCUACAUGGGUGAAGGCCUCAGUGGGCCCGGCUGUGCGUGCCCUCACACCUCAGUCACACUGACUGCUGUGCUGUUCCUGGAUGGAUGGACGUGCUCAUGGCCCACGCCUGGUUUUACUGGAAAAUGUAUAAAAUUCUGUGUAUAACUGGGUAAAUCACCAUUGUUUGACCCCCACUGGAUUAAACAUGAAGCUGUGGACUGAAGUAGGGACUCUGGAGGAGAGAGAGAGGAGAAAGGAGACGGGGAAGAGAGGAAGUAGGGAAGGGAGAGGAAGAAGUCAUGAUGUCAUAAGGAACGGGCACACAAAGGGAAAUAAAUCAGACGCAGAAGGUUAAACAUCACAUGGUUUCUGUUAUACGAGACACUCCAUAUAUAAAUAAUUUAAAGAGCAAAAUAAAAGAUAGAUGACAGGAAACAGGGAGACAGACUUUGCAGAGAUGGGAAGGGGAUCAAGAGAUGAGGAGACUGGAGGAAAGGGAACAGGAAGAGGAAGAAAAAAUGAUUAAGAUGUGAUAUGCAUAUGUCAUUAUUAUGAAUCACAAAUAUAUACAGAGAGAGAGAGAGGGAGGGAGGAGAGAGAGAGAGAGGACUCAUAGGAGGGCAGCAGGAAGGAACAAUUCCCACUCCCUGCAGGGAGGGGCCAGCCAGUGAAAUAGACAAAAGCAAGUGUUUUCUCCUGGCACAGUCUCUGAUCUGCAGAGCCAGGCUUGCAGCAAGGAAGGAAGUUGGUAAGAGGAAGAUUCUAAAAAGAUCUACCAGCCUUGGUCUUGUCAGUUCAUGACAUGACAGGGACGUCUCUUGGCAUGAAAGAACCUUAAGGGGCCCAUAGAGCAGUCUCCGCCUUACACCAAGGCACCAGGCUCUGUAGUCGGCAUCACAAAGAUGGACACACCUCACUCUGCUGAGCAGACGUGUGAACGGCGGCAGGAAGGCACAUGCUGUGUGCCAUCAUGCACUGCAAGGAGGCAGUGUGCCUGCCUGCUCCUCCCAACCCCUUGGCGGCACUCACUACGAUAUGGGUGUCAGUCCCUCGCAGGGAGAGGAAGUUGGGAGACAGGAAGAACCCAGUCUGAAAGUGCCAUGUCUAUCACCAUCAACCCAAACAGGCCCCUGGUCGUAACUGGCUUAUCCUUGUCUCACCCAAUGAAAUUAAGCAGAAAAGAAAAAUAAGGCAUGUUUUUAAACUACUCUGUGACCUCAAACAGAGGAAUAAUAUCUAGAAUUACAAAGAAUUCAGAAAAAUUACAGCCCCCCCAAUAAAAGACCCAAUGAAAAAUGGGCAACUAAAACAAAUAGAUAUUUCUCUGAAGAAAAUGAAAAAAUGUUCAACAUCUCUGGUCAUUAGAGAAAUGAAAAUCAAAACAACACUGAGAUUCCCUUACCCCAGAAGAAUGGCUGUCAUCAAGAAAUCAAAUAAUAACAAAUGCUGGCAAGGCUGUGGGGGAAAGGAACCCUGCUCCAUUGUUGGUGGGAGUGUAAGCUAGUGCAAUCACUAUAGAAAUCAGUAUGGAGAUUCCUCAAAAAACUAAAACUACAAAUUCCAUUUGACCCAGCUAUUCCCUUUCCAAGCAUCUCCCCAAAAGAGUUAAAGUCAUCAUAUUACAAAGAUCCAUGCAUAUCCAUGUUUAAAGCAGCUUAACUCAUAAUAGCUAAAUCUUGGAAGCAGCCUGUAUAUUCAUCAACAGAUGAAUGGAUAAAGAAAAUGUGGUAUUUACAUACAUCGGAGUACUAUCCCACCAUUAAGAAGAAUAAGCUUGAGUCAUUUAUAGGAAAGCAGACACACCUCAAGACCAUAAUGUUAAGUGAAGUAAGUUAGACACACACACUUAAACGAGAAACCCAAAGUAUAAACAAAAGAGCAAAAUAAAAAAAAGGCAAUUGGAAAUAGGGAGACAGAUCUUUGGGAAAUGGGAAGGGAACCAAGGGAUGGAGGAAGGAGGAGGGGACACAGAAAGGAAGAAGAUGCAUCAUGUGCAUGUACCAACUAGCCACAAUGAAUAUAUUCAUUACGUAUUGCAAACAUGUAUUAAUAAAAUAAAUAAGCCAACGAGG
ensembl:lncRNA